GUGCUCACUUCAGCAGCACAUACACUAAAACUGGAACAAUACAGAGAAGAUUAACAUGGCCCCUGCGCAAGGAUGACAUGUAAAUUUGUGAAGUGUUCAAUAUUUUC